rnacentral:rRNA from 1 species
UACGAAGGGGGCUAGCGUUGCUCGGAAUGACUGGGCGUAAAGGGCGCGUAGGCGGUUCGUACAGUCAGACGUGAAAUUCCCGGGCUCAACCUGGGGGCUGCGUUUGAUACGUACGGGCUUGAGUUCGGAAGAGGGUCGUGGAAUUCCCAGUGUAGAGGUGAAAUUCGUAGAUAUCGGGAGGAACACCAGUGGCGAAGGCGGCGACCUGGACGGACACUGACGCUGAGACGCGAAAGCGUGGGGAGCAAACAGG